UAGUCGGAUUUUGGCUGAGAACGGUCGGUCCGCCGUUAGGUGUGCACUGACUGGUCUCAGCUUCCUGGUGAGGAGGUGUGCUUCAUCGCCACUUAGUCACCGUGGUUACUUUGAAAAAAUUAGAGUGUUCAAAGCGGGCUUACGCUUGAAUAUAUUAGCAUGGAAUAACACCAUAGGACUCCUGUCCUAUUUCGUUGGUCUCGGGACGGGAGUAAUGAUUAAGAGGAACAGUUGGGGGCAUUCGUAUUUCAUUGUCAGAGGUGAAAUUCUUGGAUUUAUGAAAGACGAACUUCUGCGAAAGCAUUUGCCAAGGAUGUUUUCAUUGAUCAAGAACGAAAGUUGGGGGCUCGAAGAUGAUUAGAUACCAUCCUAGUCUCAACCAUAAACGAUGCCGACUAGGGAUUGGCGGAUGUUAAUUGAUGACUUCGCCAGCACCUUAUGAGAAAUCAAAGUUCUUGGGUUCCGGGGGGAGUAUGGUCGCAAGGCUGAAACUUAAAGGAAUUGACGGAAGGGCACCACCAGGCGUGGAGCCUGCGGCUUAAUUUGACUCAACAC
rnacentral:rRNA from 1 species